GUUGACCUAAGACUCUUAGACUUAUAGAUUCACCUUGUAGAUAAAACGGCUUUGGAGGUCAUCUAACCCAUUCCCUUAACUCUCCAUCCUACUUCACCAACAACCAGCUUUUGCAAGACACUUCCAGGGGAAGAGUCUAUGCCGAGACAAAUGAUUUCAUUAACCAUCACAAAGCUAAUUGUUACCUGAUUCUUAAACUUGGUCCAACCUUGCCUCUGUUUAGUCUUUGACUGAAUAGCUCUAGUUCGCACCUAAAGAGUUGUAUGAAAUACAGUUCCAGAAAGAGAAGGGGACGUUGAGGAGAGAGCGAGACAGGGCACAGAAUAGACUUGAACCUCAUGUCUAUCAAUUCGCAUAAGAUAACGGAGCGAAGUCUGCAGAAAUGAAGGAAGAGUCAGAUGAGGAUAGCUGGAGCUAGUGCAAGGAGGCAAGCAGAACGGUGGGAGCCAGGUACCCCCUGGAUUUAUAAUUCAUACUGAAUUCCAACAACAGAAAGGCUCUAAGCAGGAGAAUGACAGAUUUCAGAAGACUGAGACACAUUUGGUAAAAAAGUAGGAGGAAAACCUGAUUCUGGAAUUAGGGCAGCCAAUAGACGGCAGUAUUUUCAGAAAGGAAGGAAUGGUCAACAGUGACUUUCUAGUCUGGAGCCCAGGAGGAAGAGGCAACUCUACCUGAUGGUAUUAAGAUCAUGCAGGUAGCUGAGAUCACCUAGCCUGUGUCUGUCAAAUGAGAAGAGAAGAAAGACUCGGAGAAGUUCCCCAGGAGCACAGACAUUAAGUGGGGCUGUGGUGACAACACGAGAAGAGAGGCUUUGCAAAGGAGACUGAGCAGCUGUCAUGAGAGAGGUAGGAUGGUGGACUCGGAGAAGAGGCAGAAGAUGUUCUUAAACGAAGGACACUGCUGCCAAGUAGUCAGCCAAUUGGUGACAAAGAAAGACCUUGUUGCGAGAAAAAAGGUCAGUGAAGUAGUAGGAACGACGACAGGUGACACUGGGUUGAAGACUGAGGAGAGAGAAGUGUAAGAGUGGAAGCAGAGGGCAGACCACUCUUCCGAGACACUGAAGAGGCAUAGUUAGAAAUAAAGGGGAGUCUCCAGAAAGGAAUUUGUGGCUAAGCAAGAGGUUUUCUUUAAGAUUGAAAUACAUAAGCAUGAUUUAAAUGCUGCUGGGAUGGAGUUCACAGACCUGGAAGACAGAAGACAAAGCGGAUCAUCAAGAUAGUGGAAUUUACUGAAAUGAGAGAGGAAAAUCCCAUCCACAGGAAAUGCAGACAUGUGGGAGGGGCCAGAAGGACAGUGAAACAUCAGCAACUGGUCCCCCAACUUCUGAAUGAAUGUGGAGAUAUAAUCAGGUGAUGUGACCCAGCCUGUGGUUUCCACUGCCAUCCACACACGUCACUGCCUCUCUUCACAUCAGCAUCGCAACUAUCUCCUGGAAGCUUUCCAAGUGCUGAACUACAGUAACCUCAACUGAACUGCUGUUCAUUCACCCCACAGGCUUGCCCCUCCUCUGCAUCUUUGUGAGAAACCUGAGAGUCGUCCUAAACUCCUCCUUCCACCUCACUCCCCACAUCAAAUUGAUUACCAACUUGUGCUGAUUUUAUCUCCAAUUAUUCUCCAGAAUUGUUGCUGUCAUGGACUGAAUAUUUGUGUCCCCCCAAAUUCGUAUGUCCCAAUCCCUGAUGUGACUGUAUUUAGAGACGUGACCUCUAAGGAGUAAUUAAGGUUCAGUGAGGUCAAAGGUGGAGCCCUGAUCUGAUAGGAUCAGUGGCCUUAUAAGAGACUAGAGCUGGGCACAGGGGCUCACACCUGUAAUCCCAGUAUUUUGGGAGGCUGAGGUGGGAGGAUCACUCGAGGACAGGAGUCUGAGACCAGCCUUGGCAACAGAGUAAGACCCCAUCUCUACAAGAAAAUAAAAUAGUCAGACACAAUAGUACACACCUGUGGUCCCAGCUCCUCAGGAGGCUGAGGCAGGAGGAUGGCUUGAGCCCAGGAAUUUGAGGCUGCAGCAAGCUAUGAUCACACCGCUGCACUCCAGCCUGGGUGACAGCACGAGACCCAGUCUCUUAAAAAAAAAAAAAAAGGCCAUAUAUAGCCCAGAAGAGUGUCCUCACCAGAACCCAAUCCUGAUAGCACCUGGAGGACUUUCAUCCUCCAGAGCUGUGAGAAAAUUUCUGUUGCUUGCACCGCCCAGUCUGUGGUAUUUUGCUGUGGCAGCGCAAGCUGACUUAUCAGUGACCUUCUCUCUGUUACCGCAGGGUAGCUCAUCGUCGUCUCUUCCCUAGAGUCCAGCCACUCUCUCACAUCUGUCUACCUAGCAGUAUCACUGUGGGUU